GGGGUAGAAGCUCAGUGGUUGAGCAAUCGAUUGCAGUAUCCUUUCGUAGCAUCACUUGAUGUUUACCUAAGCAGUUAUCGAUAGGCCGUGUGUUCGAUCCACACCUGCCCCU